AUUUAAAGUCUAAGUAGAAACCUAUAGACUUGGUGCCUGGAUUUAAACAGUGUAAUAGUACACCAUAAUGCUAAGUACCUACGCUUUAUCCAGUAGCUGACGUAACCAACACUGUUUCUUGAAAAUUGAAAACCUCUACCGUAUCUCUAGCGUGAUAUUUGCUGUGGCGCUCGUCUGGAUAUUACGAAUUAUUAUUUUGACAGUUGAGUUGGCAGAUGAACCACGAAAGUUGGCAUUUUUGCCACGCCAAACGUGAUCAUCGGCCAUCGCUUAUAGAUCCCCGAUUCCCCACUUCGCAUAAAACCAAUAACGCCUACCCUUUUUAUUUAGCAAUAUUUUACAUCAAGUUAGAAAUUCAAACGCUAUACAUCCGUUUCAUCACGUCCACAAUUUACGGUCGACUAUCGCACUCAAAACCAACCGCUAUCUUACGACUUUUCAUGUUUAAGUCAGCAACUUGUUUGUCGUGGAAUCAUCCCGCGGUGAUAAGGAUAACCCAGGGUUAUCGGCUGGGCACGAGACCCUGUCCGUGUUAUUUAUAACUAACGUCUCGGCCUAGAACACGUGUACUACUAGCAACAUUUAACUAACCAUUAUUAGACUUUAUCUCCAUGCAAUAAGGUUUACGAAUGACUAGCGUAGGAUAUAGUACUCAUGUGUGCAUUGGCAUGGCCUUAUCAGUGGAAAUGUCCAUGCAGGUAUGCAGUAAAGGCGUGAACACAUUUACAAGAUGUGCGUGCAGCGCAUUCCAUUAGCGCACGGUACUCUGAUAGCCCAGCGUUAAGAGCUGUCUAGGAGAGAGAGAGAGAAAAAUAAUAUAAAGCAGUAUCGUAAUGCAGGCAGGAACCUAAGCAGCAAAUACGUUUAAGAACCCUUAGAAUAACUUACCGUUGCACGUUGGUAUAGCGCCGCCAAAACGUUUUCAAAUGUAGAAGCCCGACAGCAUUUUUUUGCAAUGGUAGCACCAUGGGACAAUCAUCGUCGCGUCCAAAUAUCCAAAACUGCCGAUCUCGAGACUUCAAUAGGAGGACGGAGGUCGUUUAGGUUGAGGUACAUAUACUCCUCACAAACACACAGGCAAUUCUGCAAUUUUAACAGAUUAAUAUUAAUUUUAAAGCGUGUGAAACCACAUUACUAUGUAAUUUGUAUAUAUGUAUACACAUAAUAGAACAUUACAACACACCUUGUAUGAAUAUUGCUUAAAACAGUAUACUUUAAUAAGCAUAUAGUAAAUCCUCGUUUAUUGGUAUUAUAUUUAUACUUUUAGUUAGAAGAGGCUCUUAUGUUACUAUGUAAUAAUACAAUUGAAGUGUUUAUUGUUACUUAUAGAAAACUGCAAUUCUAAAAAUAUAGGUACUAGUACUAUUUACUAUAACCUAAGUAUAGGCCGUGUUGUACUUAACCAAUAUAAGUAAUGUAAUAGUAAGCAAAGUGGGAUAUUGUGAACUAC